GAUGAACGCUAGCGGCAGGCCUAACACAUGCAAGUCGAGGGAGGAGCUUUCGGGCUUCGACCGGCGUACGGGUGCGUAACGCGUAUACAAUCUGCCUUUCACAUAGGGAUAGCCCGAAGAAAUUUGGAUUAAUACCUAAUGGUAUAUAGAGGUGGCAUCACCUUUAUAUUAAAGCUGAGGCGGUGAAAGAUGAGUAUGCGUUCUAUUAGCUAGUUGGAGAGGUAACGGCUCCCCAAGGCGACGAUAGAUAGGGGUUCUGAGAGGGAUAUCCCCCACACUGGUACUGAGAUACGGACCAGACUCCUACGGGAGGAAGCAGUGAGGAAUAGUGGACAAUGGUCGGAAGACUGAUCCAGCCAUGCCGCGUGCAGGAAGACGGCCUUAUGGGUUGUAAACUGCUUUUGCAGGGGAAGAAUAAGGACUACGCGUAGUUUGAUGACGGUACUCUGCGAAUAAGCAUCGGCUAACUCCGUG
rnacentral:rRNA from 1 species